rnacentral:rRNA from 1 species
GAUAAACGCUGGCGGCGUGCAUGAGACAUGCAAGUCGAACGGACGAUCAGGGCUUGCUCUGAUCGUUAGUGGCGGACGGCUGAGUAACGCGUGGGUGACCUACCCCGAAGUGGGGAAUAACUGCCCGAAAGGGUGGCUAAUACCGCAUACGAUCGGUAAUUCGGUUUAUCGAUCAAAGCAGUAAUGCGCUUUGGGAGGGGCCUGCGUCCGAUUAGCUCGUUGGUGGGGUAAUGGCUCACCAAGGCGACGAUCGGUAGGUGGUCUGAGAGGACGAUCACCCAGACUGGGACUGAGACACGGCCCAGACUCCUACGGGAGGCAGCAGUCGGGAAUUUUGCGCAAUGGACGAAAGUCUGACGCAGCAACGCCGCGUGAGGGAUGACGGCCUUCGGGUUGUAAACCUCUUUUGUCAGGGACGAUGAUGACGGUACCUGACGAAUAAGCCACGGCUAACUACGUGCCAGCCGCCGCGGUAAAAC